AGGUAAUCACUUUCUCAAUUACAAUAUACAAACUGUUAUGGAACUUAACAAAGCCUUAACACCGGGUAGUGACACUAUCAAUAUGUCUAUUUAAAGAAAAGAGAUUUUUUUUUUUUUGUUCUUGUAGUCAUCUUGUCUGUCAAUGUAUCAGAGGGUUAGAAUAACAAAUUGCUUGAAAUGCCAAUAAUUAAUAUUCUGUUUUUAUGUUGACAUUCUACCAGAUGCCGAGAAAAAAUAAAAGAUCCCAGGCACAAAAGAAGCGCUGGAAACCACUUGACCUGGUCGAUCCUGCUGUCCCAGUGCUCUCUGGCCACAACCAAGAUGAGGCAGUCAGUAGUUUUCCAUCUGACCAGAUGGCACCAGCCAGGUUAUCUUUGGAAACACAGGAUAGACUCACCUCCUUAUGUUCCCCAUGUACCAAGCAGACAGCACCAGCCAGCUUGUCCUUGGAAACGGAGAAUAGAUCCACCUCCUUAUGUCCUCCAGGCAGCAAGAGUUCAGAAACUCGUCCACCAGCAAAACGAGUCUGGGCAACCGAUGAUUUCCACACGGCAUCAAAUUCUCCACCUAAAAAGCCUUUCCACAACACAAAUGAAGAACUACUGACAGAGGAGCUACAGAGCAACGCAGUUCAGCACUUCUGGCGUGUCAGUGCAACUCAUUGUCAAAGUGAUGAAAGGUACACAGAAUUCUCUCGAAAUCAUCAGUGCACAUGCAAUGCCCUCACAUUCCUGGCCUACCUUAAUGAGGAACACCAGUUCAACACAGCCCGACUUGAUAAGGUGCUUGAACAGGGAGAUGCACUCUACUGUUGGAUUAAAACAAAUCUUCAGCAGGAGAGGCGUUAUACACAAAAUCAUCUGACCAUAGAGGAACUGCCCAAAAAAGUUCAUGCUGACAUAAAUGUCUACAGUGUGAAAAUGGACAACAUAAGGUAUGGAUACCUGAAAGCAGCAGACAAAACUUAUCAAAGAAAAGAGUGGUGGUUGCCUCUUGCUAGUCGUCUUGUAUGUCUGUCAACAGAUGUGAGCUAUGCUUUGCUCAUGGUCUCACCUCAGUGCAUUGCAGUUUUCCGUGACAAAUCUGGGAGGUAUGGAUUAUUUGAUUCACAUUCAAGAAGUGCAGCAGGUUUACCCCAGCCAAAUGGAACAGCAGUCAUGCUCACUUUCACUCAUGUGAAUGACCUGAUCACCCACCUUCAUAACCUUUUUCAAAAUCAAGGCAGGUAUGCAAGAUAUGAGUUUGUGCCUGUUUCUUUCAAAAGAGUCAGCACUCACAACGAACAGCCUGCACAGUCAACUCAAGCAACACCAAGAGCAACAGCUACAUCACCACAAAAUGAUGAACCACAAAUCACAAAUCCCACUGUGCAAGUGCCUCAACCAGAAUCAGCCCAAACCUACAUGACAAUGUUAGAAAGUGCUUUAAACCCGCAACAAGACAAAAUGGCUUCAAAUCAAAUUUGUGAACAUCAACUUGAAACAUCUGUUGAUCCAACAAGCAACAUCCAAACAGAACAACAAGAAAAUCUUGAACUCAAUAAUGAAAGAGAUAAAGUCAUAGAUAAACCCCCCCAAAAAACAAGAAAUGUGUGCAGAUUAAAUAAACGACGACGUGGGAAAGCUAUUCGUCAAGCUCAAAAAAGUCACAAGCAGCAUGUAAAAGCUAAAGAAAAAUCUUCAUCUGAAGACUUGACAAAGAAGAUAAACAAAAGAAGACACGAAAAGGAACGAUAUGCCUGCUUUCCUGAAUUUAGAAUGAAAAAAUUACAGGCUGUGAAAACUCAAUAUGCUCAAAACUGUCAUCGCCAUAAACAAAAACUGUUAUCAGCCAAAGAUUAUUAUGCAAAUCCUCAUAUUCAAGAGAAGAUAAAAGCCCACAAUGUGAAGAGAUACCAAAAUGAUCCUCAUUUUCAACAAAAAAAGAGAGACUACAUUAUCAGAAGAUAUACCACAGAUGCCAGCUUUCGAACCAGACAGAAACAAUAUGUGUUCCGAAGAUACAACACGGAUGCUGACUUUCAAAGCAGACAGAAGCAAUAUCUGGUCCAAAGGUACAACACGGAUGCUGACUUUCAAAGCAGACAGAAGCAAUAUCUGGUCCAAAGGUACAACACGGAUGCUGACUUUCAAAGCAGACAAAAAAAAUACAUGAGCCAGAAAUACAGAGAGGAUGAUGUCAGAGAAAGGAAGAGGGCAUAUAUAAGAACAAAAUAUGCAUCGGAUCCAAAAUACAGGCACAAACAAAAAAAAUCAAUUCAUGCCAGGUAUCAUAAUGACUCACAAUUCAGACUGCACCAUAUACAGCGCUGUGCAGAGUACCAGAGACACAAAAUGGCUACCACUGCAUCUUUCGCCAUUUAUAAAAAGUUGUGUGCGCAGAGAAUAAAGAAGAAAUACAGACGACUAGUAACACAAUUCCAGCAGGGUCCACAGUCUGAAGCACAGCCCCAGCUUGUAGUGAAUAGUGUGAUGCAAGCAGCCACAUUAGCUUUCCGUGAAACAAUUAAGUUAGGACCCACCCAUGUCUGUACAGUGUGCCACAGAACUCUGUUUCCUAAUCAAGUAAAACACUGCAAAAGAUCAAAGUAUGUUAAAAAUAGUCACAUUGUUGACACCUGCUUGACAGGAAAAUUUGUCCAUGUUUGUGAUAGUGAAUGUACAGCUAAUUGUACCUUUCCAAAACAAAGAAUGCAAGAGUGGAUUUGCUACAACUGUGACAGCCACCUACAACGAGGAAAGAUCUCUUCCAUCGCAGUGGCAAACAAUUUAGCACUAGCACCCAUCCCAAUUGAACUGAGUCAAUUAAAUGUACUAGAACGACAACUGAUUGCUAAAAUUCUCCCGUUUGCCAAAAUCAUUGCAUUACCAAAAGGACAACAAAGAGCCGUACAUGGGGCUGUUGUUUGUGUACCGUCAGACGUGGAAACCACAGUAAACUGUCUUCCCAGACCUAGCAAUGAAGCCCAGCUCCUGCAAGUACAACUGAAAAGACACAUCAGAUUCAAAGGAUACCAACACUUCUACACUGUGAACAUGAAGAAUGUGUUAGCAGGCUUAUCAAAGCUAAAAGAGAUGCAUUCAGAAUACAAAGAUGUAUCUAUUGAUGAUGACGCAACUUUUGCUGAUCCCACAAAUAAUCAGAUAAUCGAGACGGAACAUGACACUGCUGAUACAGAUAUUCAAGAUGCACUGCCCAGAAACUUUGACAACCAAAUUGUACCAGAAAGAAGAACCACUGAGGAAACAACAGCUGGAAUACUUGAGCCAUGUCAUGAUGUAAACGAACUAUUGGAGCCUGAACAGUCAAAUGGAGAGCCCUUACAAGAUACGGAGAAAGAAAAGGAAGAACUUCGCCCUGGUCUUGUUCUAGACACCUGUAUGCAACCACCAGAUAUAGCACAGGACAUUUUAUCAUAUGGUGAAGGAAUAUUUAGCAUUGCACCCGCCCAAGGAAAUAGACCUGUUGGUUUCUUCUCUAUUCCUAAACUUGAAGCCAUGGCCUUUCCUGUGCAGUUCCCAACUGGACAGAACACAUUAGAUGAAGCCAGACAAGUCAAACUGUCCCCAAGCAUGUAUUUUAAUACACGGCUGUUCUCUGCAGAUACACGCUUUGCAACUGACCAAAGCUACCUAUUCUUUGCACAGUUUGUAACAGAAACACACAUGGCUACAAACAGCAUGUCCAUCCAAUUGCGCAAAGGUAAGGCAAUCACAAAGGAUGGACGUAGAAUUAGUAACAGAAUGCUUCAAAAUAAAGACGAAGUGGAGAGACUGAUAAAUAACAAAGAUGCAACACGCUUCAUGAAACCUCUGAGAGGUACUCCAGCCUAUUGGGAAAAGGCACUGAAAGAUCUGCAUGCUAUGGUCAGACAGUUAGGAAAGCCAACUUUUUUCCUGACAUUUUCAGCUGCUGAAAUGAGAUGGCCUGAGGUUGUUGAGGUCAUAAAAACUCAACAAGGUGAACAAGUGGAUUUUUCACAACUUGACUGGAACACAAAGUGUGAAAUUCUCCGAAGCAACCCUGUGACUGUGAUGCGAUUGUUUGAAAAAAGAGUCGAUGCACUAAUGACAACACUGAUCCUGUCCCCAGCACAGCCCAUCGGUGAAGUAGAAGAUUACUUUUAUCGAGUGGAGUUUCAGGCCAGAGGUAGCCCUCAUAUCCAUUUACUGGUUUGGGUCAAAGAUGCACCUAAAUUUGGAAGCGACCUUGAAGACCACGUGUACAAAUUUAUUGACAAGUACAUAACAUGUAAGAUGCCUGACCAAAAUGCCGAUCCUGAACUUCACAAAAUUGUGUCUGAGGUUCAAGUCCACAGCAGAAAUCACUCCAGAUCCUGCAAAAAAGGUAAUGUGUCAUGUAGGUUUGGGUUCCCCAAACUACCUGUAGACCAAACAAUGAUCACUUUCCCAAGCCCAGAUGAUGACGAUGAUCACAAUGAUAAGCAGCAUAGCACAAGUAAGGAGAAAGGCACAAAUGAAAAACAAAAGCAAAAAAACAGACGAAUGGCGCUCGCAAAAAAACAGAAAGAGGCCAAAGAAAAACUCCAGCCAUUGAGAGAUUUGCUCUGUGACCCAAAUUCCUCGUUUGAAGACUUGUCUGAGCUGCUUCACAAAUGCAAAUUAACUUAUGAACAAUACUUGGAUUGUGUCUUCAAUUUAAGCAAUGGCCAUGUCAUCCUCUUAAAGCGUGAACCUAAUGACUGCUGGGUGAAUGCAUACAAUGCAGAUCUACUGAGAGCCUGGAAUGCCAACAUGGACAUCCAAUAUGUCAUUGAUGACUACAGCUGCCUGAUGUACAUGAUGUCUUAUGUCUCUAAACCCGAAUUUGAGAUGACACAAUUUCUUAAUGGAGUCAUCCAGGAGGUAAAAAAGUCCAAUGUCAAUGAAAGAGAUGAAAUGAAACAGAUAAUGCAGGCAUAUGCUAAACACAGAGAAGUCAGUGCCCAGGAAUCCGUGGCAAGGACAUGCAGCCUGCCACUAAAAAAGUGUUCACGCAGUGUGGUGUUCAUACAGACUGAUGAUGAUGCCCUGAAAAUGAGUCUCCCGAUGAGCAGGUUGCAAAGCAUGGCACCAGAUGAUGAAAAUGUGUGGAUGUCUGGAUUGCCAGAAAAAUAUGCAAACAGACCCAGAACACCUGAGUUUGAAAGAAUGUGUUUGGCUGAAUUUGCUUCAGAGUACAGGAUUCUCUACAGCCGUGAAACAGAGUCAAAAAAUGCCAUCCCUCUUUUGAAUAACAUGGGUUAUAUUCAAAAGAGAACAAGAGGGAAACCUGCAAUAAUCAGAUAUCCUCGCUUCUCAGAAAAGAAACAUCCAGAAAAGUUUUAUAGCAGACUACUAAAACUUUAUUUUCCACAUCGAUCAAAUGAUGACUUUAAAAACACAGAACACUCCACAUCCGAACAGUUCUACAAAAGUGGACGAAAACAUGGUUUUGCAGUACGGCCAAUUGUUACCUUUAACAAAAAGCGUUAUGAAAGCCAUGGCAAAACAAUGGAAAGGGCAUUGGAACAGAUUGAACAACAAGGCCCACUUAUCAAUGCAUGGAACACCUUUGCACCUGAGGUUGAAGUAGAUCGUUUAGAGUGUGUGGCCCAACGACAAUCCAGACACGAGACUGACGAAAAUGAAAUGGACAUUGUUCCAGACUACCAAGUCAGUGGUAGCAACAGUGGAACCAUGCCAGCAAUCAUAGCACCUAAGCUGAGCCCAGACUUUGUCAGAAAAAUGUACCAAAGUCUAAAUGAAACCCAAGCAUCCAUAUUCUACGCAGUGCGUGAGUGGUGUUUCAAACUUGUGUGGGGUCACUGUCCUGAGCAGUUCUUUUAUUUUGUCUCUGGAGGAGCUGGCUGUGGAAAAUCACAUGUUAUCAAGUGCAUAUAUGAGGAGGCAACAAAGAUUUUGCACCAACUCCCCAGAUUCCGUGACCAAGCAGACAUGUCCUACCCUGCAGUACUGCUGACUGCAUUUACUGGCACUGCAGCUUUUAACAUAUCUGGGAAAACACUGCACUCUCUGCUAAAGCUGCCAAAAUCUUUAAAACCGCCGUAUCAGGGAUUGGGCAAUGCACUGGAUGAAGUGAGAGCUUCACUUUCAAAUGCAGAGAUUCUGGUCAUUGAUGAGAUAUCUAUGGUUUCUAAAGACCUUUUUGCCUACAUCCACUGGAGACUUCAGCAGAUCAAAGGAAACAAGAAGCCUUUUGGUGGGAUGUCUAUCCUUGCAGUAGGAGACUUUUACCAGCUGCCACCCCUUGGAAAAGCCAAACCACUCUGUGUGUACGAGGACAAUGUCUUUGAUCUCUGGAAAGACUAUUUCCACAUGGUCAACCUGACAGAAAUCAUGCGACAGAAAGAUGAUCAUUCUUUUGCUGAAGUUCUGAACAGGAUAAGAGUGAAGCAAAAAACAAAUUCUCUUGAAGCCAAUGAUAAAGCCUUGCUCACACAGGCUAUCCAUGACAUAAAAGACUGUCCAUCUAAUGUAUUACACAUUUAUGCUACAAACAAAGAGGUCGACAAACACAAUUCAGCAACUGUAACUGCUCUUCAUUCUGAUAUCAUAAAUAUUCAGGCCGAAGACUACAGAAAAGACCCACGGACGGGUGAGAUGGUCCUCCUGGCAGAUAUGAUGAAAGGCAACAAAAGAGAUUUACCUGAUAACAUACAAGCUGCACCUGGAGUGCGUGUUAUGAUUAUUAGAAAUUUGGAUGUUGAAGAUGGGCUUGUUAAUGGGACAUUUGGAACAAUCACGAACAUUGUGACAACCACACAGGAUGGACCAAAAACUGUGAAUCUCAUUGGACUUACGCUGGACAAUCAAAAUUCUGGGCAAAAAUUUCGCAGAAAAAUACAAGGAUCCUCAGACAACCUCGUAUAUAUUGAGAAAUGUGAAGAAUCUACAAGUAAAAAAGGAGUUCUUCGCAGGCAAUUUCCAAUGAAGUUGGCCUUUGCAUGUACAGCUCACAAAGUACAAGGCAUGACAAUGGAGUCAGCAGUAGUAUGUUUGAAGCGUGUUUUUGAGCCUGGAAUGGCCUAUGUCGCACUCAGCCGCACAACCUCACUUAAAGGACUGUACAUCACAGACUUUGAUGAAAGGAAAAUCUAUGCUGAUCCUGCCAUCACAGAUGCACUCAAAAAUAUGAGACAUGCAUCAUUUGAGAAUGCAAGACCACUGUUGCAAUUCUUAAAAUCAGUUGUUCCCACAGUCCCCACAUUGACAAUUAUCCAUCACAAUGCACAAGGUCUCCCAACUCACAUGGAGGACAUGAGAUGCCACCAUGAAGUCAGCCUUGCUGAUGUUUUAUGCAUAACAGAAACUCACUUGUCUGGAUCAUCAGUUUCUCCCCGCUUCCAGCUGGAACAGUACAACAUGGCCACACGCAACAGACACGUCUCUUACACAAACCAUACAGACAUGGCAAAGGUAAAUGGCGGUGGAGUUGCAAUGUACUACAAAACAGUUCUUAUAGCAGAGUCUCGAAAAUACCUGCAAAAUGUGACUGACCUUGAAUUUGUUGUUAUCAAGGUUGAAUCGCCAGUCACAGCUUUGAUAGCAACUGUAUACAGGCCACCAAAUUACAGCCACGUGAGGUUUUUACCACAAAUGCAAUGUCUUUUGGACUCAUUGGAAAUGAUGAAUUGCCAACCAAUUAUUGUUUGUGGAGAUUUCAAUGAGGACCUUAUGAGCAGAGGAAAAAAACCCAUCCAAGAACUGUUUCAGUCAAGAGGAUAUGCACAACUUAUUACUGCUGCAACUACCGAAAAACACACAUUGAUUGAUCACCUUUACAUAUCACAGCCAUACGCCUGCCUCCAAUCAGGUGUUCUAAAUACAUAUCACAGUUAUCACAACCCCAUUUAUUGUGUAAUUCACUAACACAAAAUGACUGCAAGGUUGUGAGGGAUAUGGACUUGCCAAGUGAUCUUAGUGUCUUUGCAACUGAGCACACUCUACCACCAAAAAGGACAGCUCACCAGUGGGAGCUGAUACAUAAGACUGCUCUCAUCCAUUGAAGAGCUGACCAGAAACGUGAACAGAGAGACUGCAACUGCACCUGAUGGGAUCCCUGCCAUAACAGAUGUGUUCUGUCCAGUAAAGGCAGUGGAGAAGCCCUACACUGAUCUUGAAACUGUGCCACGCUAGUAGAGACCGGCUACAAGGAUGGGCAGCUGUUUUCGCAAAGUCAGCCAACCACUUGCUUCCAAAUGACCCUUAUCCAGAAGUAUCCGUGAGUGCCUCAUAAACAGAAACUAACGUGGAGACCUACCUCUCAGAGAAAAACGCACACAUAAGAAAAGCCGACCCACUUCAGUACUGGGAAGAACAUCCUAAUCUGUUUCCCUCUAUGGCUGCUGUUGCGAUCCCAGUGUGCCCCCUGUAGCUCUGUGGACAGUUUUGGAUUUGUUUACAUCUCACCCAACCGGUCCCAGCAGAUGGCUGCACCUCUCUAAGCCUGGUUCUGCUGGAGGUUUCUUCCUGUUAAAAGGGAGUUUUUCUGAACACACUCUACCACCAACAAGGACAGCUCACCAGUGGGAACUGAUAGAUAAGACUGCUGAUGUGCUCUCAUCCAUUGAAGAGCUGACCAGAAACGUGAACAGAAAGACUGCACCUGAUGGGAUCCCUGCCAUAACAGAUGUGUUCUGUCCAGUAAAGGCAGUGGAGAAGCCCUACACUGAUCUUGAAACUGUGCCAUGCUAGUAGAGACCGGCUACAAGGAUGGGCAGCUGUUUUCGCAAAGUCAGCCAACCACUUGCUUCCAAAUGACCCUUAUCCAGAAGUAUACGUGAGUGCCUCAUCAACAGAAAAUAAAGUGGAGACCUACCUCUCAGAGAAAAACGCACACAUAAGAAAAGCCGACCCACUUCAGUACUGGGAAGAACAUCCUAAUCUGUUUCCCUGUAUGGCUGCUGUUGCGAUCCCAGUGUGCCCCCUGUAGCUCUGUGGACAGUUUUGGAUUUGUUUACAUCUCACCCCAACCGGUCGCGGCAGAUGGCCGCCCCUCCCUGAGCCUGGUUCUGCCGGAGGUUUCUUCCUGUCAAAAGGGAGUUUUUCCUUCCCACUGUCGCCAAAGUGCUUGCUCAUAGGGGGUCAUAUGAUUGUUGGGUUUAUCUAUAUACAUUAAUGCUUGUAUGCUUUUCAUUUAUACUUUUGCCUUACUUUUCAGUUCAUAAUAUAAAGUUACUUGAAUGGUUUCCUUUUCCUUUUUUAUUUUAUAUUGCUUUGCUAUUUACCACAAUCUAAAUAUCAUGUUUAAAUGUCAUACAUUAUUGUAAAUGGUAUCUGUACAAAAUAUUGUUUGAAUAACAUGAUACAUUUAUUAGUCCCACAAUGGGAAAUUUCAUAAUUUGCAUGUGGUAUUUUCCCCUUUGACAUUAAAAUACCUUUGAAAU